GAUCCUGGCUCAGAUUGAACGCUGGCGGCAUGCCUUACACAUGCAAGUCGAACGGCAGCACGGGUGCUUGCACCGUGGUGGCGAGUGGCGAACGGGUGAGUAAUAUAUCGGAACGUACCUUAUUGUGGGGAUAACGCAGCGAAAGCUGUGCUAAUACCGCAUAAGUCCCUUAGGGGGGAAAGCGGGGGACCGUAAGGCCUCGCGCAAUUAGAGCGGCCGAUACCUGAUUAGCUAGUUGGUGAGGUAAAGGCUCACCAAGGCAACGAUCAGUAGCUGGUCUGAGAGGACGAUCAGCCACACUGGGACUGAGACACGGCCCAGACUCCUACGGGAGGCAGCAGUGGGGAAUUUUGGACAAUGGGGGCAACCCUGAUCCAGCCAUUCCGCGUGCAGGACGAAGGCCUUCGGGUUGUAAACUGCUUUUGUACAGAACGAAAAGGUCUCUAUUAAUACUAGGGGCUCAUGACGGUACUGUAAGAAUAAGCACCGGCUAACUACGUG
rnacentral:rRNA from 1 species